GGAAGGAUCAUUACCGAAUUGUCGACACGAGCUGUUGCUGGUCCUCAAAUGGGGGCAUGUGCACGCUCUGUUUACACAUCCACUCACACCUGUGCACCCUCUGUAGUUCUGUGACAUGGGGGACUCUGUCCUCCUGUUGUGGCUCUACGUUUUUACACACACUCUGUAACAAAGUAUCAUGGAAUGUAUGCCGCGUUUAACGCAAUACAAUACAACUUUCAGCAACGGAUCUCUUGGCUCUCGCAUCGAUGAAGAACGCAGCGAAAUGCGAUAAGUAAUGUGAAUUGCAGAAUUCAGUGAAUCAUCGAAUCUUUGAACGCACCUUGCGCCCUUUGGCUAUUCCGAAGGGCAUGCCUGUUUGAGUAUCAUGAACACCUCAACUCUCGUGGUUUGCUACGAUGAGCUUGGACUUUGGGGGUUUUGCUGGCCUGUGGUCGGCUCCUCUCAAAUGAAUCAGCUUCCCAGCGUUUGGUGGAGUCGCAGGUGUGAUAACUAUCUACACUUGUUGUUUUUCACCAGAUAACCUUCAGUGAUGGAGGUUCGUUGGGGCUCAUAAAUGUCUCCCCUCAGUGAAGACAGCUUUUGAACGUUUGAUCUCAAAUCAGGUAGGACUACCCGCUGAACUUAAGCAUAUCAAUAAGCGGAGGAAAAGAAACUAACAAGGAUUCCCCUAGUAACUGCGAGUGAAGCGGGAAGAGCUCAAAUUUAAAAUCUGGCGUCCUCUGGCCGUCUGAGUUGUAGUCUGGAGAAGCGUUUUCCGUGUUGGACCGUGUACAAGUCCCUUGGAACAGGGCGUCAUAGAGGGUGAGAAUCCCGUCUUUGACACGGACUACCAAUGCUUUGUGAUGCGCUCUCAAAGAGUCGAGUUGUUUGGGAAUGCAGCUCAAAAUGGGUGGUAAAUUCCAUCUAAAGCUAAAUA
rnacentral:rRNA from 1 species